GACCUGGCCAUAUGGAACUUCUCCCUGGUUAGCCCCGGACUCUUCCAUCCUGUCCAGAUCCAGAGGAGUUUGCUACAAAGGUCAUUCUGGAUGUCCCCAACCAGUAACUACUUUACAUAUCCUCUCUAUGUACAUAGCAUUGUAUCAGCUGACCACCCGCGAACAUAAACUCAUUCUGAAAAAAGGGAGUAUUGUUGGAGAUAGACCCACAUGCUAUCCCCGACAAAUGCUGAUCCAAGCAUACUCUUAUCUGAUCUCCAACAGCUUGGAGUUCUUCAGUUUAUCGCUGUGGAUUCCUUUGACCUGUGUGCUGUUUACUUGGAAGCCUCAGUUUUAACAGUACAUAUACACACGCUCAAGAAAGUUAUACCUUUUAGCAUGUGUAUAUCAGGAUUCAGUCAAUAGCUCUGAAAGAUAUUUGAUACAGUGACCUUUAUUGAAGACACACAAGAUAACCAAAAUGUGAACAAAAUUGUCUGUCUCCUUAAAAAAUGAUAAUUGUCAACAUCAAAUACUUUCUCCACUUCUUUUUGUGUAUUAAGUGUAUAUGAUGAUUUGCUUAGAUCUUUUUAAAGGUUUCUUAACCAAUCAGUAAACGUCAUACAGGGCUGCUAAUGUAACGGAAGUUUUGGAAGUUUCGAUACUUCAGUAUAAUUCUGCCAUUUGAUUGAUUGUUUUUAUCAAAGUUAAUAUGAUUGCAAGAUUACAAAUGGAUUUUGACAUAAAUAAUAAUUUAGGUGAUCAACUACAUUGAACAUGUGUGUUCAACUUUUAUAUUAUAUUUAUAAUAAUUCUGAUUUUUUUAAAUUUAAAUAAUAGUUUUAUUAUUGAAUUGUGUAAAUACAUAAUUAAAUGACCUUGUAAAAUUACCUUUUAUACCUAAUAACCUAAUAACCAAGUUUCAAAAUUAGUUAUAAAUUAUUUGUUUUGUUUCUUUCAAAAAAUGUAUAAUAUUAAGAUUAUAUAAAUUGUUAUAAAUGUAUUUAAAAUUAUAUUUUGAAGUAUUUAAACACUAGAGAGUGGGGUGUGUAUAUCAAGUUCUAUAUUUUUGAACUAAUUCAGUAAAAGAUUGUCUCGUACUAUUUGAUGUUUUGUAACAAUAAUUGCAUCAAGUAUAAUAGAGAGCUAUUAUGUAAAAAUGUUAUGUGUGUAUGGGUUGUUCCCCUCUCCAUGAUUUAUUCCAGACAACUCCAAUCAUCCUCUAGUAUUCCUUCAGUCAGCUCUGAUUGUGGGAUUUUGUCACAAUGUCAGCUUUGGCCAGAAACAAGUCUUCUAUAGGAUUUUUUGUGCUUCUGUGUUUGGUAUCGAGUAAUGGUAGCUGUCUGAAAAAGUCUGGUGGCUGCUUGACCAGAUAUUGGGGAAGCUUUUUGAAGUAUCUGUUUUGUUGGGUUAGACCUUCUUAUUGUACUUGUUUAGCAAAGUUUCUGAAAAAGCUGGUAGCUUUGUACGUACCAUGGUCUCUGGAUGGCUUAGUUGUGUUAAAAUCGGAAGAUUUUAUAAGCUUUUAGUAUAAAAGAAGAAGAAAAUUAUAAACAUAAUUAUGCACUGCUUUGGGCGACAUUGUUAAAAUCGGGAGGUUUUAUACUUUUACGUUGUUGUUAUUGUAAUUGUAUUUAAAUAACUAUUUCCAGAUCUCUACAUGUCCAAAUAUUCGGGCGCCAGUGGCUGCAGAAAAGCAGACCACAAAUUUAUUCAUCUAUGGCACAUGUAAAUACCUAAAGCUGUGCCGGCUAGCAAUUAAUGUUGAAGGGGAAAUUAACCAAUCAUUUUUGGCUAAACAAAAUUUUAUUUAGAAUAAUAAAAUAAUCUUUCAAUGUACAUCAGGUAUAUUUAUUAAAAAACAAAGAAAGAUUACUUAACACUUUGAGGAACAUUGGUUUCACAACCCAAAUAGCCCUGUGAACCAGGAUAAAACUUGAUUUUUUUUAAAAAUCAUAUUUAUAAAAAUAUAUUACCUUGAACAGUGAAAUUUGAUGCUUGUAUCAAAAUAUGUCUAUAAAACACAAAAAUUCAAUAAAAAAAUAUAUGUUUAUUGGCACUUUUUCAAAAUAAAAAAAUAAAAAAAGAACUAAAAAAAUGCAAACUGCCAAAAAAAAAACGCCACUGUUUGUAAAAAAAAAUAAUCAGGAAAUUAUUAAAAUUUUUACAUUUAUAUACAUUGUUAUUCCCAGUACUUCAUUUCUGUAUGGUACUUUUCGAAGCACUCUCCAACGCAAAGUGGAAUCUUGCAUUGUUUGCACUCAAAUCUGGUGUCCUUCCGGGCUGCCUUCCCAGUCUUGUGCUUUGCACUAUCUGCACAAACUUUGCACCUUCUUUGCACUGCUUUUCCACUUUCUGGGGCUAUUUUAUAGCAGUAGUGCUUCCCAUUUAUAUGGAGGAUGUGUAGUUAAGCCACAUCUAUAGCAUUCUUCCAAAUUAGGUGCACUUACCUUGGAGGUGCUUCCUUUUUGAUGGUACACAUUAUGAGCUUUUGGUCCUUUAACAGUUGAUUCAUUAGCUGCUUGGAAAUUAUUUUUAUAGUUUACUCUAUUUAUUGAGGUCAUAUCUUCAUUUGUCAAUACUCUAAAUUCUUCUUUGGCUGUUUCAAACAUUCUUGAUAUCUCAAUUGUUCUUUGAAGAUUCAAAUUAUCUUGUUGCAAAAACUUUUCUUUUAAUUGCCUAUUAUAGCAUUUUUCUAUUAUCCGAUCUCUGAUCAUGUCUUCUUCUAAAUUUCCAAAUUCACAGGAUUUGACUAAUUCUCUUAGGGCAAUGACAUAUGAAUCAAUAUUUUCAUCUGUAUUUUGUUUUCUUUGCCUAAAUUUAAAUCGUUCUGAUACAAUAUUUUUUUGUGGUGUGAAAUAUUUAGUUAAAGCUUCUUUUGCUUUUUCAUACGUAUCUUUUUCUUUGGCAAAUUAAAGAAAAUUCUUUGGACCUGUGGUCCAAGGCAAUGCAAAAGUGUUGCCCUUUUAACGUCAUCUUUCUUUGUUGAAACACCGCUUGCUAAUUCAUAAAUUAAAUAUGAAUUCAUCCAAUGUUUGUACUCGGAAUACAAAUCUGUAGCAUUAAGGUUCAACGGUAAUGGAGACGUCAAAUUAUUUGCCAUCUUCUGUUACGCUUAUUUAAUUAUUAUUUUAUUUUAAUCCUCGUCGCCAAAUAUGUUGUGUUGUUUAUCUUUUAUACACUACAACUUAUAUAUUUAUUAUUUAAUUAUAAUUAUUUAUUUAUCACACAUUUAAAUUUAGUAAAGAUUAAUUAUAUAUUUACCAAACACAGUCAGUGUAUUGUUCUUAAUUCCAUUUUCUUAUAUUCACAUCACUUAUAUAUUUCACACUAUUCUACAUAAUUCAUAAGUUUUUGUAAUUUUUUUUAAAUAUAUAUUUUUUAUAAAGUUAAAAUAAGAUUAUAUAGUGUUUUACCUAGUUAAAGAAAGAUAAACAUAUUUUAAAUAUUUGCCAAUUAUAAAUUAUGUUUUGGAACCCUAAUGGUAGACCAAGACAAUACAAUAAAAAGUUAUUGGUUCCGGGCUAAUUGUCUAAGUUUGGUUAUGGACUUCUAACCCCACAUCAUGGCAGCAGACGCAAUGUCAGGUGGCAAGGUAUCCUAGGAUCUGGCGGCAGAUGUAUCACAGGGGUGGAGAAAACAUUGAGCUAGCAGGGGAACAGUGCCAGGGUGCAGUGAGGCAGGAGUCUUGGUAUGGCUUGAAAAUCCAGUAGAAGUGGCUGUUGAAGGUGGUGGCACGAGGUCCUUGAAGCCUAGAACUUGAGGGCCCUAGACUUCAGGAUGCAGGCGGGUUGGGAGCCUCAGGUUGCUUCCUUUUUGUUGGAGCAGGAGCAGGCACUCUUGGCGUCGGGUGUAGCAGGUCGCAUGGGGUGGGUAGUCCAUAGGACGGCCAGGGAGGUCUAUAGGCCUUUUUAAAAAAUCUUCUUUCAGCCACACUUUCCAGCUCCCACACCAGGCUUGGUGUAGUUCCUCACGCACACUUCCUGGUCUGUGGUGACCUCCUGUAGCAUGCCGUCUCCUUGAAGAUGUCCAUGGGGUUCUGGACCUGGGGUAGGGUUGGCAUGUACUCCAGACUGCAUACUACAAUUAUUGUACAAAUAUUGAGAUCUGAUGUAUUAUUUGGAAUAUUUACGGUAAUUCCUCAUAGUACAAAUAUUGAGGUCUGAUGUAUUAUUUGGAAUAUUUAUGGUAAUGUCCUCAUAGUACAAAUAUUGAGAUCUGAUGUAUCAUUUGGAAUAGUUAUGGUAAUGUCCUCAUAGUACAAACAUUGAGAUCUGAUGUAUUAUUUGGAAUAUUUAUGGUAAUGUCCUCAUAGUACAAAUAUUGAGGUCUGAUGUAUUAUUUGGAAUAUUUAUGGUAAUGUCCUCAUAGUACAAAUAUUGAGGUCUGAUGUAUUAUUUGGAAUAUUUAUGGUAAUGUCCUCAUAGUACAAAUAUUGAGGUCUGAUGUAUUAUUUGGAAUAUUUAUGGUAAUGUCCUCAUAGUACAAAUAUUAAGAUCUGAUGUAUCAUUUGGAAUAUUUAUGGUAAUGUCCUCAUAGUACAAAUAUUGAGGUCUGUAUUAUUUGGAAUAUUUAUGGUAAUGUCCACUCAUGGAGCGCAUGAUACUAAAUAGAAUGCAAUACUUCCUAAACAAAAACAAGCUACUUACAAAACUCUGGACGUUCCUGUCGGUGCUGGAGCGUUGUGCCUCUCUGUAAUCCUCCUCCCUUUGCUCUAGCCACUGUAGCUUGCUGACUAGGGUCUCCCAUGGUUUGCCCUGGUAGAGGUGAGCCUUUUCCCACAGGCUGGGGCAGAGUCCGUCGAUGAAGACCUCCGCGACCUCCAAGAUGCCUAUCUUCAGGCCAUCCGACUCUGCUCCCGCCUCAAGGUUGCUCACCCGUUCGGCAAAGUCCCGGACUUUCUCCCCGGCUCCCUGUCUACAGGAGGAGAAUUGACUCCUCAUCUCCCUUGUGGAGUCUCUCUUUCGGAAUCGCCUCUCGAGGCUCUCCUUCAGUUCUUCAUACCCUAGACCAGGGGUCUCCAAACUACGGCCCGAGGGCCAUAUCCGGCCCGCAGACAGAUUUUGUCCGGCCCGCGGAGACAUACUUGAAAACUCCUUUUAGAGAACAAAUAUUUUUUAUAGCAAAUAAAAUGUUUGUGAUAAGUUGGAUAAAGAAACACAGAAUGGUAAUGAGUAAAGACAUGUAUAAUUUAUGCAGUAAAUUUAACUUCAGCAUAUAAUAACUAACAAAUUAUUGAAAUGAAUCCAACUUACAUUUUAUACAUUGUAAGUAAUGAACAACACAUACCUUAUAACAUGACAUAUGAAAUGCUAAUGAGAUGUAUGUAAUUGAGAUUUUCCACCGACAAUAGUUUGUAGUUGUGGACUAAUUUUACUUGUACCAAUUAUUAAAAGAGAUUUAAGAUGCUCGUCAGUUAAUUUAGAUCUGUAUACAUUUUUUGUGUACUUCAUUUUGGAGAAGGUUUUCUCACACAAAUAAGUAGUACCAAAAACGGAAAACAGCCCACGAGCAAAUUUAUGCAAAUUAUCAAAUUGUGUCAGUGGAAGGAAGACUUAUAAAAUUCCAACAAAGAUGAGUUUUCAUAUUUGUUCUUAAUUAUAUCACUGCACUGAAGAUCAAUCAUUUCCAUUUGAAGUUCCGGGGCUAGGGUUUCAAUGUCAGCAUCAAAAGGAUUCUGAAAAAUCUUAAUUUGAUUCGGAAUGGCAUCAAAGUCCGAGAAACGAGUAUCAAAAUUUAUCUUCAAAGCACUCAAAGUUUCGAUUGCAAAAUCGAUAGGAAACUCAGUCUCAGUAGUGUGGCUGAAUAUUUCACAUGUUUUAAAAUGCGAAAAACAUUUACUUCGUAGUUGUGAUUGAAACAGUAUCAAUUUCAUCCGGAAUGACUUGAUAUUAGUGUAUAAAUCAGGAAGAUCCUGGUUUUCUCCUUGCAAUCUCAAAUUCAGUUCGUUCACAUGUUUUGUCAAAUCAACAUAGAAUGCUAACUUCCAUAGCCAUGCGUUGUUUUGUAAUUCAGUAAGAGGGCGGUGCUUUUCAUUCAAAAAAAUUUCGAUCACUGCUCGAAGUUCAAAAAAGCGCUGAAGGACUUUCCCACAACUAAGCCAGCGUACGGCAGUAUGAUAAGGUAAGUCUGUUUCUCCAAUCUCUGCAAUAAAUUGUCGGAAUUGUCGGUGAUUCAGCCCAAAAGAUCUGAUGAAAUUAACAGUUGAUAUGACUGGUUUCAGAACGUCAGACAUAUCCAUUUUCCGCACAAAGACUGUUGAUGAAUGAUACAAUGUAAGACUAAUGGUUUUGAGCCGCCGUCAUUUUCUACAGCCUUUGACACAAGAGCGACCACUCCUUUAUCUUUCCCACUCAUGUUUUUGCCUCCAUCAGUUGUAAUACAUUUCAAGUUUUUCCAUCGAAGGUUCUUUUUAUUAAUGGCCAUUUCAACUCCUUUAAAAAUAUCGGUACCAGUAGUUGUGCCAUGAAUACUAUACAUAUCAAGAAGUUCUUCGUGCACUUCAUAGCUUUUAUCUACUCCUCUAAUAUAAAUCAACACCUGAGCAGUAUCUGACACAUCCGUUGACUCAUCCAAGGCCAAAGAAAACCACUCAACAUGUCCAUUUUUGUCGAACAGUUGAGAGGAUAUAUUUUCAGCGAUGUUUUCUACCCUUCGAGCCACAGUGUUUGCUGACAUACUGACAGUUUUUAAUAAAUUUACCUUUUCAGGGCACAUUUCUUCGACUACUGCAAUUAUGCAUUCCUUGAUCAUUUCUCCAUCGGUGAAUGGUUUUCCACGUUUUGCAAUUUCAAGAGCCACACGAAAGCUGGCACGAGUUGCCGCCUCUUGUUCAGUUUUGACUUUUGUAAAUAAAGAUUGCUGCAAUUUCAAUCCGCGCUUCAAAGCUUCGAAUUUUUCUGUCCGCACAAUUCCUGUAUAUUUUGAGUAAUUUUGAGAAUGUUUUGUUUCAUAAUGACGUUUCAUGUUAUAUUCUUUGAGAACGGCUAUGCUUUCAUUGCAAAUCAAACAUAGCGCCUUGUUACUGGACUCAAUUACGAAAUACUGAAUGUUCCACUGAUCUUUGAAUUUUCUGCAUUCACUAUCAAUUUUUCGCUUCUUUUCCAUUCUGCUAAAUCACACACAAAAGCAACAAUUAAUAAUAACAUUUAAUAACAAAUAAACAUAACAAUUAAUACAGGAAAAUUAAUAAUUUGCAGUGUUGCCAUCUUGGCCCUCGGAACUUACUGGAGUAAUCAGUAUGGCCCUAAGGCUGGAAAGACCCCAUCAGUAUGGCCCUAAGGCUGGAAAGUUUGGAGACCCCUGCCCUAGACGAAUUUGUUGGGAUUGGAAGGCAAACUCCCUUGCAGCUCCUCGGAGAUGAUUAUCCAGGAGGAUUCUCUUUCUGGCGUCGUCCAGGGCUCUCAGGUCAUAGACGAGUUCGAAGUCCUUUAUAAACUUAGUAAAGGGGACUAUGCCCUUCCCUUCGAAUUUUUCUAA